rnacentral:rRNA from 1 species
AUGUCUGCAGGUCGCUCUCAGCACACGGCUACCUCGAGCAUGCGGCGCCGGCAGGAGGCCGAGCGCGCCGUGGCAGAGGAGCGUGAGCGAGCGGCUGUAGCAGCAGCUGCUGCGGCGGCAAGGGUGUCGAGGCUGGCUGCAGCGGAGCUGGCAGCAGCCAGAGCGGAGGUAGAAGCAGCCAGGGCAGAGGUAGCAGCAGCAGAAGCAGCCCGUGAGGCUACGGCGGAUGCCAAGGCACUCCGCGGUGGCCCCGGCAGCUCCAGCAGCUCCGCGCCUGCGGACGACGGCGCCGACGCAGAUCGCGCCAAAGUGGCGCAGGAGCGGACGGCGCAGUGGGCAGCCGAGCACGCCCGCGCUCCAGGUGGAGGCGCGCACCGCGACGGCGGCUGCAAUGACCAGGACCGCGGCCUCUACGAGGUCCGGAUUGUGGUCAGGGAUGUUGGUCCCAGUGUUGGGUGGCCUACCCUCACUAAAACCAACUACGUCGAGUGGGCCGGGAUCAUGAAGGCCAGGCUCCAGGUGCGGCGCAUGUGGGAGUAG